GGGGGUAUGGCGGAAUUGGUAGACGCUACGGACUUGAAAAUCCGUUGGCUUUAUUGACCGUGAGGGUUCAAGUCCCUCUACCCCCA
rnacentral:tRNA from 9 species